rnacentral:misc_RNA from 1 species
UCCGAUUUACAUCGGCAGUCUCACUAAAGUACCCAACUUAAUGCUGGCAACUAGUGAUAAGGGUUGCGCUCGUUGCGUCACUUAAGACAACAUCUCACGACACGAGCUGACGACAGCCAUGCAGCACCUGUGUCUAGGUUCCCGAAGGCACAGCCUAAUCUCUUAGGCCUUCCUAGCAUGUCAAGAGCAGGUAAGGUUUUUCGCGUUGCAUCGAAUUAAUCCACAUCAUCCACCGCUUGUGCGGGUCCCCGUCAAUUCCUUUGAGUUUUAAUCUUGCGACCGUACUCCCCAGGCGGUCUACUUCAUGCGUUAGCUUCGCUACUGAGAUUGCUCCCAACAGCAAGUAGACAUCGUUUAGGGCGUGGACUAC